rnacentral:rRNA from 1 species
GGUCAAGUGAAGAAGCGCAUACGGUGGAUGCCUUGGCAGUCAGAGGCGAUGAAAGACGUGGUAGCCUGCGAAAAGCUUCGGGGAGUCGGCAAACAGACUUUGAUCCGGAGAUGUCUGAAUGGGGGAACCCAGCCAUCAUAAGAUGGUUAUCUUGUACUGAAUACAUAGGUGCAAGAGGCGAACCAGGGGAACUGAAACAUCUAAGUACCCUGAGGAAAAGAAAUCAACCGAGAUUCCCUUAGUAGUGGCGAGCGAACGGGGACUAGCCCUUAAGUGGCUUUGAGAUUAGCGGAACGCUCUGGAAAGUGCGGCCAUAGUGGGUGAUAGCCCUGUACGCGAAAAUCUCUUAGUCAUGAAAUCGAGUAGGACGGAGCACGAGAAACUUUGUCUGAAUAUGGGGGGACCAUCCUCCAAGGCUAAAUACUACUGACUGACCGAUAGUGAACUAGUACCGUGAGGGAAAGGCGAAAAGAACCCCGGAGAGGGGAGUGAAAUAGAUCCUGAAACCGUAUGCGUACAAGCAGUGGGAGCCCACUUUGUUGGGUGACUGCGUACCUUUUGUAUAAUGGGUCAGCGACUUAUUUUCAGUGGCGAGCUUAACCGAAUAGGGGAGGCGUAGCGAAAGCGAGUCUUAAUAGGGCGUCUAGUCGCUGGGAAUAGACCCGAAACCGGGCGAUCUAUCCAUGGGCAGGUUGAAGGUUGGGUAACACUAACUGGAGGACCGAACCGACUACCGUUGAAAAGUUAGCGGAUGACCUGUGGAUCGGAGUGAAAGGCUAAUCAAGCUCGGAGAUAGCUGGUUCUCCUCGAAAGCUAUUUAGGUAGCGCCUCAUGUAUCACUGUAGGGGGUAGAGCACUGUUUCGGCUAGGGGGUCAUCCCGACUUACCAAACCGAUGCAAACUCCGAAUACCUACAAGUGCCGAGCAUGGGAGACACACGGCGGGUGCUAACGUCCGUCGUGAAAAGGGAAACAACCCAGACCGUCAGCUAAGGUCCCAAAGUUAUGGUUAAGUGGGAAACGAUGUGGGAAGGCUUAGACAGCUAGGAGGUUGGCUUAGAAGCAGCCACCCUUUAAAGAAAGCGUAAUAGCUCACUAGUCGAGUCGGCCUGCGCGGAAGAUGUAACGGGGCUCAAACCAUACACCGAAGCUACGGGUAUCACGUAAGUGAUGCGGUAGAGGAGCGUUCUGUAAGCCUGUGAAGGUGAGUUGAGAAGCUUGCUGGAGGUAUCAGAAGUGCGAAUGCUGACAUGAGUAACGAUAAUGGGUGUGAAAAACACCCACGCCGAAAGACCAAGGUUUCCUGCGCAACGUUAAUCGACGCAGGGUUAGUCGGUCCCUAAGGCGAGGCUGAAAAGCGUAGUCGAUGGAAAACAGGUUAAUAUUCCUGUACUUCUGGUUAUUGCGAUGGAGGGACGGAGAAGGCUAGGCCAGCUUGGCGUUGGUUGUCCAAGUUUAAGGUGGUAGGCUG